UUUAAUCGUUUUGACCCAUGUUCUCUCACACUCUCUCGUCGUUUUUGUCUGUAUGUUUUUUUUUGGAUAUGAAGAACAUAUCUGGAUAAUUUUUUGUCUGUCCAGAUGUCCUUUUGAAUUUCGUUUUUUUCCCGAUCAAAACGAUUAAAGUCCAUACAGUGUCCGAUGAGAUUGAAGUUGGUCAUAAUCUCCGGAAUUAUAAAGUCAUGAAGGGUUGAUAUGCACUUGUGAUGCAUCAUAGGAAUUAGACAGGAAGAUGUGAGCCGAAUAUUACCUUUGUAUGUUUUCACUUUGACAAACCAAAAUGACACCAUUUGAUGCCAAAAUGACACCAUUUGAUGCCUCGCAGGCUCCAAAAACUCUGUCAGCGAAUGAGCCCCACAAGAAAACACGGCUUGAAGUCGAAGGAAGUUAAGAUGUAAUAUAGUUUCUAUAUUUUCGGGCAACGAAGCUGUGUUUUUUUUUUCAUUUUUUUCUAAUAUUAAUUAUAAUGACAUUGUCUGUAAAUAAGUCUGAACUCAAAGCCUUCUUCUGAUGAUGUGAAAAUGUUAAUAUA